rnacentral:lncRNA from 1 species
CCUUCCCCCAAACCUUAUUUCUACAGUAACGUUUUCCUGUCGUUUUAGUUCUCUGAACAUGUCCCAGAAGGAUCCCUGCCAGAAACAAGCCUGUGAAAUACAGAAAUGCUUGCAAGCGAACAACUACAUGGAGUCUAAGUGCGAAGCUGUGCUUCGGGAGAUGAGGAAGUGCUGCGCCCGGUACCCCGAGGGCAGAUCCAUCUGUUGUUCAGGUUUUGAGAAGGAAGAGAGAGAAAAGCGUAAAGCUGCUUCAGAAGGAAUUCCCCCACCACCUCAGUAAUACAAAGCAGCUCCAGCAGGUGCCAGAGCACGGACUCACCUGCGGAGCUCAGGUGUGUGUUUUUGAGCCUUCUCUAGACUUUCUGGAAAGCCAGAGGGCUCCUAGAACACAGCACCCCGUGCACCAAAAAGCAUAACGCAGUACCAAGAGAUGGCCUGGUUAACAGACUUUAUUUUCUGUACCAAAACUUCAUCUACGUUGUCCUUGCAUUGCAUCCGUGUCUGUGAAAAAUCAAUCCGAUGUGUUUAGAAUGCUUACCUUACUCUAACCCAUCCUUGCUCUCAAAACGGAGGGCUGGAACCAAGUUACUGUGGCUUCUGGAGGGGGAGGUACAGGAAAUGUGCUCUUAAGAGUGAGCUUAAGCGUGACACAUGAAAACAAAGUCCAUUUUGACACAGCAAAGGCAUUGCUGCCGUCGGGCAGCAGUUCCAGGCAACAUUCACCUGUCCAGUGGUUCAAGCUCAAGAAGGGGAAUCGGGUCUGGGUUUGUUCCCAGGUCUUGCAUAGCUCACGGUGGCCACGCGUCACUCUGCCUAAGUGCCUCACUUUCCCACUGGACAGAGUUUAGAUGGCUUUCUAUUUGAAUUGCCUACACGCUGCUAUUUGCAUGACAAUAAAGAUGUUACAGGAACAUUAUUUCAGGGAUUGCUACAGGAAUAGGAUCUUUUUUUUAAAAAAAAAAAAAAAGAAAGAAAAAGCAAUAUUUGUUUGGAAAUCCUGACUGUUGAUAUAAAAUUUAUAAAUUUCUGUAUAAUUGAAGACCUUUAAGCAAUAUGUUACCAAUCCGGCAUAUCUCGGUGUGCUGGAACCCAGAGGCCUAUCACAAAGCCCUGGGCUAGAUCCAAGAACCGAUUUAGGUGCCACUUCUGAACACACAGUUGUAGGCACCCUCUGUCAGUACAGCACUUCAGACUCACACACAAUCCAAUCCGUCCGUGUCUGGACCCCAGGGAGAGAUGGCUCUUCGGAAACUCUCACCUGUGCAGCAGAAUUUCCUGUGACCUGUAGGAAGAGCUCAGUAGUCAGGUUCCUGCAUCACCCUUCAGUGCUGCCUCUGUCUCUCCGUCCACUGUAGCAGGAGUCCAGGCACCUCAGUGGGUGCCAAGUCCAUUGCAGGGCCCAGGCACCGAAACACCAGACUUCGAACCCACUAGGCUCCUAACUCUGUCAUUAGAUCUAGCCGCAAAGGACUUUUGU